ACACGUCAUGAUGUGAGACUCAGGUAUUAACCUGCAGGACUCAAGGGCGCCCCCCUCAGUUCUCCUGGAUAGAGUCAGUCUGCAGGUCUGUGUGUUCAUGAGACAUGUCUGAGGAUGCUUCAGUGAUAGACAGGAUACAGAAACCCUGAAGAACAUCAUCCGAGCAACAGUGACGGAACCAAAGGUCCAUCUCCCCCUGGCGAGGGGGACUUUUACUGCAUCAUCAUCAUCAUCAUCAUCAUCGUCAUCAUCAUAAUCAUCAACAUCGAAGCUCAUCUCACCUUGCCAGCAUGCUCCCACUGUGAGCUGCACGUCGAUCUGAGAGGGAUGGAUGGGCCAGUCAUCAGUCACCAGGAGUUCUUACAAAGUUUGGGUGUGAUGACCUCCGGGGAGGAUGACUUCCUGCAGCAGUAUCAGCAACGAAACAUUGACAAGGUGAUCUCAACCUGAAGAUGGUCGAAGCAUCUGCAUAUAAAGCUGAGACCCUCCCAAGGUGCUGGGAAUGGAGAGAGAGUGGCAAAGGCGUGAUUACGAUGUCAAUUCAUAAACACAGCGCCCCGAGAGACUGCAUGGAUGAAAGCACCAAUGCCACUGGAAAAUUACCCACCCAGCCGGGACAAGUCAUUUGCCACACUGUGGAGCAAAACAACAAACAUUCAGAAACCAGUAUAAACACAAAGAAAGAGGACAGAAGUUCCUAAAGUACGCUGAAGAAGCCUUUCCUCUCACCGAACUGAAGCCCCGCCCCUUUAGAGUCUUCGCUUUGAAUCAUUGCUAAGAUAGCAGCUGCAGCCAGACAGACGACCAGCAGGAAGGCUUUUCUCAGUGUCAGACGGCAAGGAGGAUGAACAGCUUAUCUCACGUUUGGUGUUCCCCUGCUGCCAGACGAUGAAAUUGACAGGUGUCACCUUGUUAUUUCACAUUGUAGAAGCCAGCCGGAGUCUUCAGGGAGUUGAUUAGCACGAACCUGUUGCCGCAUUUAGACGCUCACCUACGGCACAUGCCAGGCUCGCAGGAGGAUUGAGCGGUCCUGCUGCAGUGGGGAUUCUGGUAGACCUAAAAUUAGCUCACCAGUGAAGCAAAACUGCCAACAGUAUGGUGCACAUUUAUGACAUCUGGAUGUCAUUAUCAAAUAUCUGUGGCUUUGGGGAUUUCUCCUGUCAUGUUGUGGAAUAUUUAUCAGCCAACUGCAGCUGUGAAUCAAAUUAGCCUGUUGAUAAAUCCCCCCAAUGCCUAAUUUAAUAAAGCGUGGUCUUAUAAGGAAUAUUGCUGCGAUCAAAAUUUGGAGAAAUUUGAAAAAGCAGCUGCCCUCAGAUACCUAGAAAUGUUCUUAACCACUCCUGUAAUAUGAUCUGUGUUGGGUUAUGUUGCCUGUCGAGGACUUCUCCAUGCACAGCAGUUGCAAAAUAGUUUUUUAAAAGGAUCUGAUCUGUUAUUUUGUUCACUCUUGAGGAAAUUCCUCAUGCUUUCAAGACUAGUUCUGUAUCAUCCUGAGAUAAAAUGUGUAAAAAUCUAUUAUCUUUCAAUCUGCACCAAGCUAAUCGUGGACUGCUUAUCCUAUACUCUAAUAAAACUGCUGUCAGAAGUACAUGUAGUUACAUCUAUAGGCCUGCAUACAGUAGUUUGAUGUUUGUGGCUUCUUGUCAGGUUUGUUUCUUCUUGUUUCCAUCCACACUUCUGUCAACUUUGUGUACAUACUCUGCGAGCAAUGACAACCAAGACACACAUCCUAGCAUGCUUAAACAACUCUCAAAUGGAGCUGAUUGUGAUUUUGAAAAUGAAAAAGCGAUGACAGGAGAAAUUGGAUGAUCCUGAAUGCUACUUCAUGCUAGUUUAGAUCUGCUCUUCUAUCUUCCCACAAGCCUCCACAACUCAGUCUGAAACAAACAUCAGAUGGAAUGACCCAAUAUCAAUAACCACUUAAAGGAUGACAACGGCAAACACGUCCGUCAUUAAUAUAGCAUUUUUCCCAUUAGAUUAACC